rnacentral:rRNA from 1 species
UUGAACGCUGGCGGCAUGCCUUACACAUGCAAGUCGAACGGUAACAGGUCUUCGGAUGCUGACGAGUGGCGAACGGGUGAGUAAUACAUCGGAACGUGCCCGAUCGUGGGGGAUAACGGAGCGAAAGCUUUGCUAAUACCGCAUGAGACCUGAGGGUGAAAGCGGGGGACUCGCAAGAGCCUCGCGCUACUGGAGCGGCCGAUAUCAGAUUAGGUAGUUGGUGGGGUAAAGGCCUACCAAGCCUGCGAUCUGUAGCUGGUCUGAGAGGACGACCAGCCACACUGGGACUGAGACACGGCCCAGACUCCUACGGGAGGCAGCAGUGGGGAAUUUUGGACGAUGGGCGAAAGCCUGAUCCAGCCAUGCCGCGUGCGGGAAGAAGGCCUUCGGGUUGUAAACCGCUUUUGUCAGGGAAGAAAUCCUUUGAGCUAAUACCUCGGAGGGAUGACGGUACCUGAAGAAUAAGCACCGGCUAACUACGU